UCUCAUGUAUCCCCACUAAUUCUUCUCUCAACAUUCUUUGCAUUCUUGUUGUAAGAGCCUCUAAAAACAACCUAUUGGGGAUUCCUUCCUCCUCACCUGACAUGAUUAUCACGAAAUAAAGAAAAAAUUGUCCUCACGUGUUUACACUCAAAUUUGGCUUUUUUAUAAUGAGCAUUCUAUCCUUUUCCCACUCAAUUACUCUUUUC
rnacentral:lncRNA from 1 species